GAAAGUCUGAUGGAGCAAUACCAUGUGAACGAUGAAGGUCUUUUUGAUUGUAAAGUUCUUUUAUGAGGGAUAACAACUGAUAGUACCUCAUGAAUAAGUGACAGCAAACUAUGUGCCAGCAGCUGCGGUAAUACAUAGGUCGCAAGCAUUAUUCGGAUUUAUUGGGCGUAAAGCAAGCGCAGGCGGAUGUGUAAGUUCUGUGUUAAAAGUAGCUACUUAAUAGUUGUUUGCACCGAAUACUACAUGUCUAGAAUGUGGUAGGAAGUUUUGGAAUUAAACAUGGAGCGGUGGAAUGUGUAGAUAUGUUUAAGAACACCGGAGGCGAAGGCGAAAACUUAGGCCAUAAUUGACGCUUAGGCUUGAAAGUGUGGGGAGCAAAUGGGAUUAGAUACCCCAGUAGUCCACACCGUAAACGAUGGGUAUUAGGUAUUGGGGUUUGAGCCUCAGUGCUGUAGCUAACGUGUUAAAUACCCCGCCUGGGUAGUACAUAUGCAAAUAUGAAACUCAAAGGAAUUGACGGGGACCUGA
rnacentral:rRNA from 1 species